UACGGAGGGUGCGAGCGUUGUCCGGAAUCACUGGGCGUAAAGGGCGCGUAGGCGGCAUGCCAAGCGUGUGGUGAAAGCCCGGGGCUCAACCCCGGGUCGGCCGUGCGGACUGGCGUGCUCGAGCACUGUAGGGGCGGGUGGAAUUCCGGGUGUAGCGGUGGAAUGCGUAGAUAUCGGGAAGAACACCGGUGGCGAAGGCGGCUCGCUGGGCUGUUGCUGACGCUGAGUGCGCGAAAGCCAGGGGAGCAAACGGG
rnacentral:rRNA from 1 species